rnacentral:rRNA from 1 species
GUGCGCGGGUCAUGGGGUUGUACGAAACCUAAAGGCGUAAUGAAAGUGAAGGCACGUUCGCGUGUCGAGGUACGAUCCCUGUCAACCUUUCAAACGGUUCGGGGCGCAGUACCGGCCCGUCUCAUCGGCGCUGUCCGGGAGGCGGAGCAAGAGCGUACACGUUGGGACCCGAAAGAUGGUGAACUAUGCUUGAGUAGGACGAAGCCAGAGGAAACUCUGGUGGAGGUCCGUAGCGAUUCUGACGUGCAAAUCGAUCGUCAAACUUGAGUAUAGGGGCGAAAGACUAAUCGAACCA